GUGGACGUAGCUCAACGGCAGAGCUCUCGGUUGUGGUCCGAGCGGUUGUGGGUUCGAAUCCCAUCGUCCACC
rnacentral:tRNA from 1 species